CCUACGUGAGGCAGCAGUGGGGAAUAUUGCACAAUGGGGGAAACCCUGAUGCAGCGACGCCGCGUGAGUGAAGAAGUAAUUCGUUAUGUAAAGCUCUAUCAGCAGGGAAGAAAAUGACGGUACCUGAGUAAGACGCCCUGGCUAACUACGUUCCAGCAGCCGCGGUAAUACGUAGGGGGCAAGCGUUAUCCGGAUUUACUGGGUGUAAAGGGAGCGUAGACGGCAGUGCAAGUCUGGAGUGAAAGGCGGGGGCUCAACCCCCGGACUGCUCUGGAAACUGUACGGCUGGAGUGCAGGAGAGGUAAGUGGAAUUCCUAGUGUAGCGGUGAAAUGCGUAGAUAUUAGGAGGAACACCAGUGGCGAAGGCGGCUUACUGGACUGUAACUGACGUUGAGGCUCGAAAGCGUGGGGAGCAAACAGGAUUAGAUACCCGAGUAGUC
rnacentral:rRNA from 1 species